rnacentral:rRNA from 1 species
CAAGUCGAGCGGUAACAGGUGUAGCAAUACAUGCUGACGAGCGGCGAACGGGUGAGUAAUGCUUCGGAAUCUGCCCAAUGGUGGGGAAUAACCAGCCGAAAGGUUGGCUAAUACCGCAUAAGUCCUACGGGGGAAAGCAGGGGAUCGCAAGACCUUGCGCCGAUGGAUGAGCCGAAGUCGGAUUAGCUAGUUGGUAGGGUAACGGCCUACCAAGGCGACGAUCCGUAGCUGGUCUGAGAGGACGACCAGCCACACUGGGACUGAGACACGGCCCAGUCUCCUACGGGAGGCAGCAGUGGGGAAUAUUGGACAAUGGGGGAAACCCUGAUCCAGCGACGCCGCGUGUGUGAAAAAGGCCUGCGGGUUGUAAAGCACUUUUAGUGGGGAUGAAAAGCUCAGGGCUAACACCUCUGGGUCUUGACCUAACCCACAGAAAAAGCACCGGCUAACUCUGUGCCAGCAGCCGCGGUAAUA